ACAACAACGAUGGACGACGCAGCCGCUUCUCUUGGUCCACUGAGGGAAACUUUCGGUUUAAAAAACGUCCUGAUGGGACUUUCGAAAAGACGACUGUUGUGUGCAAGUUGUGCAAAAAGGAGUUUGCACAUCACCGAAGCUACUCAAGCCUAAAAUACCAUCUCAAUGCAAAACAUUUUGCAGCUAGCAAAGCUGCCCCCACAGCUGAUUACAGCGCCCCCAGCAGGGGUAAAUAACCGCCCCCACCAGGGGUAAAUAACCGCCCCCCAGCAGGGGUAAAUAACCGCCCCCACCAGGGGUAAAUAACCGCCCCCCACCAGGGGUAAAUAACCGCCCCAGCCACCCACACUGGACCAGGUGACAGGUUUCAGGGCCAAAAUAAGCAAGUCUACGUCUGAAAAAUGAAGCAAAUCCUGCUAAAUGGAUCGCAACAGACUGUAGACCGCUAUCGGUGGUCGAGGACAGGGGGCUACCGUCUGUGUUAGAUGGCGACAUCGGACCCUGCUCACGAACUAGUAGGGAAAACCAUGGCGGGUAAGAUCAGGCAGCUUUAUGAUGAAGUAAAGCCGUCAAAACAAGACAUAUUGAAUGCAGGUGAUUGUGUUGCGCUGACAGGGGACCUUUGGACUUCCUCAGCAAGUCUAACUACCGUGGCGUGACCGCGCACACAGUACGCGGCGUUAACAAAGUAUGGCCAUCAGCAUCUUUCGCCCUCACUGUAGAGAAAGUCAACAGCAGACAUGCAGAAAACUGCGCAGACCAUUUUUUCAGUAGCUGAGUCCUGGAAAAUUGAGCAAAAGGUUACAACAGUUGGCACCGAUUGUGCCAGAAACAUGAUGGCAGCAGCAAGACAGCUCCCAUUUCAGCACAUGCUGUGUGUUGCGCAUAUUUUGCAGAGAUCCAUCACUGUGUGCCUGGAGAGUUGUGGACUUAAUGAUGUACUAGCAAAGUGCCACAAGAUUUCAGACACAGUCCAGCCAACACAAUGGAACUGUAUAAAUUGCCUAAAUUUCCUUCGGGAUCAAUAAAGUAUCUAUCCAUCCAUCCAUCCAACUAAAGAGCAAAGGGCACCUUGACCAGGAAAAUGAACCCUUAAUCCAGGAUGUUUCCACAAGGUGGAACUCCACACUGUUUAUGAUCCGUCGUCUUCUCAAAAACAAAGAGGCAGUAAAGGCAACUCUGGACAAACAGAGGCACACACUGAUCUUAUUAUCGGCAUGUCAUGAUUGUCCUGUCCAUGUAUUCGUGGUUUGGUUUUGUAACUCCGCCCCUGAUUGUUUUCACCUGUCGCUCGUUGCCCCUGUGUAUUUAAGCCCUGUGUUUGCCCUUUGUUUUCGCUGGUCGUUAUCUUCUCGUCGUGUUGGUGUUUGCCGUAUCCACCUGUUUUGUUAUGUCAGAAACUCGAUCUGUUCGUGUUGGCUAUUUGACCCUGGACUGUUGUGACCCUGAUUCUGGAUUUGCCCUCAAUAAAAGUCACUUACCUCCGCAUUUGCGUCCGCUACCUCGCUCCUCGUUACACAGCAGCAGAGUGGACAAAACUAGAGAAGUUGGCAGCCAUCCUUGAACCAUGCAGACAUGUGACUGAUCUUCUUGGUGGAGAGACGUACGUCUCAUGUUCUGCCUGUCCUACGAUUCCUGGACCACACUAUGAAGGUCUUGGAUGAGGAUUCUACCUACAUUUUGAAAUUCAGGAAUGCCUUCAUGAAGGACUUGUCAGAGCGGAAAGCUGCACUUAAUUAUGAUUGGCUCACAAUGGCUACAGUGCUUGACCCUCGCUUUAAGGACUUAAAGUGUCUUCCAAGAGAAAAGCGAGAAGCCGUGUGGAAAAAGCUUGAAGAACUCCUUCAAGAUGGAUCUAUAAAAGCUACCUGUGAGCCCACAGAUGAGCCACCAAAAAAGAAAGGCCUCUUGUGCUUUUCUUCUGACUCUGACUCUGACUCUGAUCAUGUAGGGUCUAAUGCCUUGAGCCUCUAUAAAGCAGAACAGACCAUCAGUGAGACAGACUGCCCACUACAAUGGUGGUCAGCACAUGCAGGGGCACAUCCACAGCUCUCCACUCUGGCUAGAAAGUACAUAUCAAGCCCUGCCACUUCUGUCCCAUGUGAGAGGGGGUUCUCACUUGCUGGGAACAUCAUCCAGAAGAAAAGAGCAGCCUUAAGCUCUGAAAAUGUGAACAGGCUCGUUUGUCUCAGUAACUGGCUCAAGGAGAAAAAGUAGCCUCAGUGUUACAUGUUUUGGUUGUACAAAAAUAUUGCAGGUUGAAUGUUGUGUUAAAUUCUAUGCUCUUAAAUGCAGUAUGUAGUUUUGCCCUAAUUCGGUUGUUACUUUAGAAAUGGCACUUUAAUUUUUGUUUACACCAGAUGUUAAACUCUCACGAGUUGCAAUAUUGUAUAGUUGUUUUAUUUAUUUUUAAUUUUUACAGUUCUGUACAAGAAAUGGUGCUAUGAUUAUUGUCUAAUGUGCUGUUUACAUUUAUUUAUUUUUCAAAUAAGUUAAACUAUCAGGGGUUCCUGAAAUACUUGAAAUCUGAAUAACUAUAAUAGCACCAACACUUCUGUUGGUUUAAUAACAAUAAAAAAAAAUUAAAAAAGCAA